UUGGUUUUGAUAUGUCUCGUCUUUUUUCUUCCUCUAUUCUUCCUUUAUUGCUUUCUUUUGCAUUAAAUGAACCAGGCACUAUGUUUGGCACUUAAGUCAGAGGCAAGGACUUCAAAGAUGUAUUUCUUUUUAAUUUAGACAGCAAAAUUACCUCUCUGACAAUUUUAAUCUCCUUAAAUGGCUCAUAUUCUAAUCAAUCACGAUUUCUUCUUCUUGGUUCCAGUGAAUGACAGCAAAUCAAUUAUUCAUCCAAUCAUCACUGGAAACCAUCUACAAAAAUGUCCAUUACCAGCUUCCUGGAUUGGAGGAUUUAAGGUGUACAACUUGACCUACCCACCAGGAGGAGGAAUGAGGCCAUUAUGUUUUGGAGAUCCCCUUCAGGACACAUGGUGACUCAAAGUGUGGUGACAACUGAGUGCUUCAGACCAAGGUGGCAAGAGACGGUUGGGAUUCACAACAGAGUCCAGGUUGAGGUUAUUUUCAAAUGCUGUGGCAUUGUUCUCACAGACACCUGGCACGGGUGCCAAGGAAGCUCUGAUAAGCAGAGGUCCUUUCUGCACCUGCUACAGUGAACACGAGGAGCCUGAGCUGGUUUGAACCCCACCACCGCCAUUUCUACCCGUGCAACCUGAGAGAAGCCACUCAGUCCCCAGCAAGGAGGCAGCACAGGUCCAAUGAGGGCUGGGAAGGAGAAUAUGCUGCUGCCCUCAACGAUGCACACAUAUUUGUGAGCACACCCCACUCCCAUGCCCAACCCCGUUAGGCGGCACGAGGCCAGGAACGUGCAGGCAGGAGACAGAGAAUGACAGUGUUAGCUGAGCCCUAAGAGACUCAGGCCAGAGUCCCCCCAAGCACCUCUCCACAUGGAGCAGGCACACCCCGUGACGACGAUGGGGUGAUACCCUAGGACACCAGAGCUCCCGGGACGAAAGGAUGUGUCUCGCUCACAGCUCCUAGCUGAGUCGAGGACUCAGCUCACAUUCCCCCCUGAGCCUGAACAGGGGAGACGAGGCGGGGUCCACAAAACAAGAGGGCAGCCUGUGCCCUGUGCCACGCCAUGAAAAUCAGCUGCCCUCAUCCAGUUGGAGCUGGCUGGGGCCGUCCCAGGCUGGGGACAAACAGCAGCCUUGCCCACAUCCGAAGAUGCAGGCGCUGAGGAAAAGGAAUGAGAGGUUGCAAACUCGUAAAUCCUGGUGUGGCUGACAUUGCAAAAGUGUUGAAAAGGCUAAAGCCACUGAGUGGAAGGGACUGUAAGUGCAGUGGCCAAACACUGUGGGCCACACCCAAGUCAUCUCCUUGCUGCCAGGUGGUGAGACCUACGAUGCACCAGGCUGGGUACAGCUCCUUUCUGCACUCCCACCAGCCCUCCCAUGGCCACAGCCAGAGACCCCACUCCUGCCACCAGUGUCACCCUACUCAGUCCCUUCAGAGAACUAAUCACUGGCUUCAGUGACACAGUGUUUCAUUUCGUUUGUGGGGCCACAUGUGGCCCUCUGGAUUCUUGAGAGUAGCCUUCUGACUGCAUCCAAAUUUUACACAAUAGUCCCCAUGGUGUACCUUAAUAAAAGGAUUUGUUCUGUGAA